CCGCAUCCGGUUCAAACACCAGUUCCCGUACAAUCACCGAAGUUAAGCAACGCCGAGCCUGAUCAGUACAUAGAUGGGUGACCUCUUCAGAAUAACAAGUGC